ACUCUGGUAAUGAUUGGUGCUUGCAUCAUGAAUUACAUUUGAGUGAGUGGCGAACUGGUGAGUAACACGUGGGAAACCUGCCCAGAAGCGGGGGAUAACACCUGGAAACAGAUGCUAAUACCGCAUAACAACUUGGACCGCAUGGUCCGAGUUUGAAAGAUGGCUUCGGCUAUCACUUUUGGAUGGUCCCGCGGCGUAUUAGCUAGAUGGUGAGGUAACGGCUCACCAUGGCAAUGAUACGUAGCCGACCUGAGAGGGUAAUCGGCCACAUUGGGACUGAGACACGGCCCAAACUCCUACGGGAGGCAGCAGUAGGGAAUCUUCCACAAUGGACGAAAGUCUGAUGGAGCAACGCCGCGUGAGUGAAGAAGGGUUUCGGCUCGUAAAACUCUGUUGUUAAAGAAGAACAUAUCUGAGAGUAACUGUUCAGGUAUUGACGGUAUUUAACCAGAAAGCCACGGCUAACUACGUGCCAGCAGCCGCGGUAAUACGUAGGUGGCAAGCGUUGUCCGGAUUUAUUGGGCGUAAAGCGAGCGCAGGCGGUUUUUUAAGUCUGAUGUGAAAGCC
rnacentral:rRNA from 2 species